rnacentral:rRNA from 1 species
UACAGAGGGUGCGAGCGUUAAUCGGAGUUACUGGGCGUAAAGCGCACGUAGGUGGAGACGUAAGUCUGGUGUGAAAGCCCCGGGCUCAACUUGGGAUUUGCAUUCGAGACUGCAUUGCUAGAGUACGUAAGAGGAGGGCGGAAUUCCGAGUGUAGCGGUGAAAUGCGUAGAUAUCCGGAGGAACACCAGUGGCGAAGGCGCCCUACUGGUCCGGUACUGACACUGAGGUGCGAAAGCGUGGGGAGCAAACAGG